rnacentral:rRNA from 1 species
GAACGCUAGCGACAGGCCUAACACAUGCAAGUCGAGGGGCAGCACAAGGAGCAAUCUGAGGUGGCGACCGGCGCGACGGGUGAGUAACACGUAUGCAACCUGCCUGUAAGACGGGGAAUAACCCGUUGAAAGACGGACUAAUACCGCAUAAUACUAAAUUACUGCAUGGUAAUUUAUUUAAACAUUUAUGGCUUACAGAUGGGCAUGCGCAUGAUUAGCUAGUUGGAGAGGUAACGGCUCCCCAAGGCAACGAUCAUUAGGGGUUCUGAGAGGAAGGUCCCCCCACACUGGUACUGAGACACGGACCAGACUCCUACGGGAGGCAGCAGUGAGGAAUAUUGGUCAAUGGACGAGAGUCUGAACCAGCCAAGUCGCGUGCAGGAAGAAUGUUCCCUAUGGAUUGUAAACUGCUUUUGCAGGGGAAUAAAGUGCAUCACGUGUGAUGUUUUGUAUGUACUCUGCGAAUAAGGAUCGGCUAACUCCGUGCCAGCCGCCGC